rnacentral:rRNA from 1 species
GAUUAACGCUGGCGGCGUGCAUGAGACAUGCAAGUCGAACGGACGAUCGGGCUUGCUCGAUCGUUAGUGGCGGACGGCUGAGUAACGCGUGGGUGACCUGCCCCGAAGUGGGGAAUAACUGCCCGAAAGGGUGGCUAAUACCGCAUGUGGUGACUGGUUCGUUCCAGUCUCCAAAGCCGCAAGGCGCUUCGGGAGGGGCCUGCGUCCGAUUAGCUCGUUGGUGGGGUAACGGCUCACCAAGGCGACGAUCGGUAGGUGGUCUGAGAGGACGAUCACCCAGACUGGGACUGAGACACGGCCCAGACUCCUACGGGAGGCAGCAGUCGGGAAUUUUGCUCAAUGGGCGAAAGCCUGAAGCAGCAACGCCGCGUGAGGGAUGACGGCCUUCGGGUUGUAAACCUCUUUUCUCAGGGACGAUAGUGACGGUACCUGAGGAAUAAGCCACGGCUAACUACGUGCCAGCCGCCGCCGUAAUAC